GUCACUAUACUUUCAGGAAUAAUUUCUAUAGUUGACUUGAGAAAUGUGUUUCUAAAGUGUAUGGUCUUGUUAACCACAGUGAUGAAUCGUGAUAUUUCCUUCUGAGCAUGAAGGUGAUAGGAAAUAAAGAUUAUUUUCAUACUUUCUCUAUUAUUGAUGGCUGUGCUUUGCUUCCUCAUUGAACACUGAGGAAGGGAAUAUGAUCAGA